CAGGCCCCCGUUACUGAGAUCCAACUGUUUUGGACCCGUUGACAAUUGUAUAGCCUGCAAUAACGCAUGUGAUACAGCGUGUUGUCAAUGUUUUGCGAAGUUACGUAUUCAAGUAUACUUUACGAACUUGGAGAAUUAAUAUCAAUUAGUAUGUAACGCUGAAAGAAAAUAGAAGACGCAAAGAGAGAACGUGGGGCUAAUCGUGCAAGAAGAGUCAUCGUGUUAUAUUUUUCCUACAACCGCAUACAACUUUUAUACGAGCAAAUAAGUUCCAUUACCUCGGACUCGAGAGAGUCCGCGUCGAUGGCGUCCCUGUCAAAGUCACGUUCCUCCAUAAUGGCGACCAAAUCCCCGAGAUACACCAUUUUUCACGUAUUCAUCAAUUUCUA